GAAUGUGAGGACAAUCUGUCACCCCGUUGGUCGCUGAGGUUGAUGCGGCUGAUCUGGCUGGCUAGGCGGGUGUCCCCUUCCUCCCUCACGGCUCCAUGUGCGACCCUCCCGAAGCUGCAUGCUUCCUCAAAGAGGACCACAGCCUUCUCCAAAUAGUGCGGACCAGUCUUGGGUGGAGGGUAUAUGAGUAGCUGUGUUCUCCUGCUAGAAGCCCCAAACAAGUUCUCAGUAUAGCCUUUGAGCGGUGGGUUCACAACCUACACUGAUUUUUUUUUUUUUAGAUUUUUAAAAAUAUUUCUUUUAUUUAUUUUUUAAAUCUCU
rfam:Erinaceus europaeus unplaced genomic scaffold scaffold00164, whole genome shotgun sequence